GACGAACGCUGGCGGCGUGCUUAACACAUGCAAGUCGAACGGAAAGGCCCUGCUUUUGUGGGUUGCUCGAUUGGCGAACGGGUGAGUAACACGUGAGUAACCUGCCCUUGACUUUGUGAUAACUUCAGGAAACUGGGGCUAAUACCGGGUAGGAUCUCCUGCUGCAUGUUGUUGGUUGGAAAGUGUCGGCGGUUGGGGAUGGACUCGCGGCUUAUCAGCUUGUUGGUGGGGUAGUGGCUUACCAAGGCUUUGACGGGUAGCCGGCCUGAGAGGGUGACCGGCCACAUGGGGACUGCGAUACGGACCAGAAUCCUACGGGAGGCAGCAGUGGGGAAUAUUGCACAAUGGGCGGAAGCCUGAUGCAGCAACGCCGCGUGCGGGAUGACGGCUUUCGGGUUGUAAACCGCUUUCGCCUGUGACGAAGCGUGAGUGACGGUAAUGGGUCAAGAAGCACCGGCUAACUACGUG
rnacentral:rRNA from 1 species